UGCAACCCCCACCCCCACCCCAUGAACUCCACUCCCUGGAGUCCUUUGCUAAGAGCAAUGGAAAAAGAAACCAGAGAGCAAUUUCCAGGAGUUCAUCCUGAUGAGAGAACUGAAAGGGGUGCACACGUUAGUAACAAGGAGGCCUGGUGACCGCCUAAGGGUCCAAUCGCGGGGACCACCGGGUCAAGGGCGAGAGGAUGGAGACCGCGUCACAGGCACCUCGCUGCUGGAAUGGAGGGUGGUGGGGAGAACUUAGAAGAUUAUGCAAUGGGCUGGCAGGGCUGUACCCAGCCGCCCUGGUAAGCAGAGACUCAAGAAACCUCUGGGGUCCUGUUUUCUGGUCGUAUGAUCCCAGGAGUGCACAUGGGCCCCUCGGGUG
rnacentral:lncRNA from 1 species